GAUGAACGCUGACAGAAUGCUUAACACAUGCAAGUCUACUUGAACUUCGGUUUGGGUGGCGGACGGGUGAGUAACGCGUAAAGAACUUGCCUCACAGUUAGGGACAACAUUUGGAAACGAAUGCUAAUACCUGAUAUUAUGAUUUUAGGGCAUCCUAGGAUUAUGAAAGCUAUAUGUGCUGUGAGAGAGCUUUGCGUCCCAUUAGCUAGUUGGAGAGGUAACGGCUCACCAAGGCGAUGAUGGGUAGCCGGCCUGAGAGGGUGAACGGCCACAAGGGGACUGAGACACGGCCCUUACUCCUACGGGAGGCAGCAGUGGGGAAUAUUGGACAAUGGACCAAAAGUCUGAUCCAGCAAUUCUGUGUGCACGAUGACGUUUUUCGGAAUGUAAAGUGCUUUCAGUUGGGAAGAAAAAAAUGACGGUACCAACUGAAGAAGUGACGGCUAAAUACGUG
rnacentral:rRNA from 1 species